UACCAGCACCCCGAGUGGUCGGGACGUUUUAUUGGGCCUAAAGCAUCCGUAGCCGGUUCUACAAGUCUUCCGUUAAAUCCAGCUGCUUAACAGAUGGGCUGCGGAGGAUACUAUGGAGCUAGGAGGCGGGAGAGGCAAGCGGUACUCGAUGGGUAGGGGUAAAAUCCGUUGAUCCAUUGAAGACCACCAGUGGCGAAGGCGGCUUGCCAGAACGCGCUCGACGGUGAGGGAUGAAAGCUGGGGGAGCAAACCGGG
rnacentral:rRNA from 1 species